rnacentral:rRNA from 1 species
CACGUAGGGUGCGAGCGUUGUCCGGAAUUAUUGGGCGUAAAGAGCUCGUAGGCGGUGUGUCGCGUCGGCCGUGAAAACCUGCAGCUUAACUGUGGGCUUGCGGUCGAUACGGGCCAUCACUGGAGUUCGGCAGGGGAGACUGGAAUUCCGUGGUGUAGCGGUGAAAUGCGCAGAUAUCAGGAGGGAACACCCGGUGGCGAAGGCGGGUCUCUGGGCCGAUACUGACGCUGGAGGAGCGAAAGACGUUGGGGAGCGAACAGG